rnacentral:antisense_RNA from 1 species
CUUCACCGCACCCAGCCACAACGGCCGGUCCUCGGCCACCCGCUCCUGGCCGUAGGUCGCCAGCAACGCCUGCGCCUC